rnacentral:rRNA from 1 species
CCUACGGGUGGCAGCAGUGGGGAAUAUUGCACAAUGGGGGGAACCCUGAUGCAGCGACGCCGCGUGGGUGAAGGAGUAUUUCGGUAUGUAAAGCCCUAUCAGCAGGGAAGAACCAUGACGGUACCUGUCUAAGAAGCACCGGCUAAAUACGUGCCAGAAGCCGCGGUAAUACGUAGGGUGCAAGCGUUAUUCGGAAUUACUGGGUGUAAAGGGAGCGCAGGCGGCGCGUUAAGCCUGGUGUGAAAGCCCGCGGCCCAACGGCGGGACUGCAUUUGGAACUGGCGCGCUGGAGUGCUUGAGGGGAAAGCGGAAGUCCUAGUGUAGCGGUGAAAUGCGUAGAUAUUAGGAGGAACACCAGUGGCGAAGGCGACCAACUGGACGGUGACUGACGCUGAGGCACGAAAGCGUGGGUAUCGAACAGGAUUAGAUACCCUAGUAGUC